ACUGCAAAAAAAAAGAGAUGCACGUGCAAAUAGGUUUGAGGCGCGAGGUUGUGUCAGGGUCGUGAACACGAUUUCUUUCUCUUUUUGGAUGGAAGAUGGCAGGCUCCCCAAGGAUAUGCUCUACAGGCCGGUUUCUGCAUUACAAAGAUGUCUGCAAAUGUGAGGCUGGCAAUAUCAGCCCUGCUGUGUGGGAAUCUCUUGCAGAUGACCACAGUGCCUGGAGACAGGUUGUGCAUCCCUAGCAGGGACCAAAGGAGGAACGGCCUCUGGGAGGGGGAACACACAGAGAAGAAAUGUCAUGGUGCAUCUACAGCAGCACAACCAGACACCUUCACCUGCCCCAGCUGCAACAAAACAUGUCUCUCCCGUAUUGAACACUACAGCUACAGAAGGCACUGCAACCAUCCAAUAGUUUGACUUCACCCCCCCCCGUAAGGCCCAUUGUCUCCCACGACUGAUGGAUGCCAACCAGUAAUUAGUUAAUGUAUUCUCAUUUUGUGUUUUUUUGUUGUGGAUCACCCUAGUUUCUUCAGAUGAGGGUGGAAAUUUAAUAAAUAUAAAUAAAAAAUUGGGUUCCAGCUUGAGCCCUGGCAUGGGAACGGGAGCUGUGCUGCUGAAGCCCUAGCACAGAUAAUUGAACCCCAGUUGCUGGAUGUUUAAAAACUUUUCUUCUUCCUUUUUUCUUUUUACAUGUACUGUAUAUCCUGCCUUGCAAGUUGCCGCUUUCCUGGAGCUCAAGGUGGCGUAAUGUGGUUGUUGAAGAUUGAAAGAGAGAUUCCUGCUGCUUCAUGGAUUGCACAGUACACAGUCACUUCCAGCUAUAGCUGCUUUACCAUGUUCCACCUUCUCCACUGCUGUAUGAUCUAGUUUAAUGCAAUCUGAAAAGUAGGUGCCACCUCAGAUUACGCCCUGGAUAUUGGCCCUUAACCACCAAACCCACCAGAACUGCAUCUCACGCACACAGGACCCUGCCUAAGAAUUAGAAAGUUGAAAGAAAGAACCCUUACUGUACUUUCCAACUAAGAAAUCUACCAAGAAAUCUGUUGAAACCUAUCAAGAUUUUCAAGGAGUGUGUUUGAGUGUGAAAUCUCCUGGCUUACACACCUACCAGGCUCUGUGGUCCUUUUCCCCAUGAGUCCAACAAAGAAAUCAUGCAUGUCUCCUACAGAGAAAAACAAGAGGGUUACAACAGGUCAAAGUAUCAGCUGGAUUUCAGAUUUUAGAAAAGAAAUAACAGGACUAUUGUAAUGAAUGGCUUCUAAAUCUGCUAUGGUGGUGGUUGGGUGCCUUUCUUGUAGACUCUGAUUAGAUACUUGCAUUCUGAUCAUCAGGGAUGACUCCAGUGGUCACAAAUAAGUUUCUGUAAAUAACACACUGCCGCCACCAUUUUAAACCAGCUUCUCAGAAAGGGAGAUAUUGCUGAUUGUAAGUUGAGGAACUUAUGGAAUAUCAGUAUCAUGCUGAACACUUCAUUCAUUUCUUACUAUAUAAUGUUUCUGUUUAAAAAAAGUUUCAUGGAGCAGUUUGUGUAAAUGACAAUAGAUGGCCAUGCCAACUGCAUCAUGAUAGCAGUGGGCACAGCGAGCAGGUGAAGCAGGAAAGCCAAGUAAAUGUAUAUAUACGAGAGAAAAAUCCGUCUUUGGUCAUCUGUUCCCUGACAUUCAUCUCUCACUUGUGUCCUAUACCCAUCUGCAUUCAUUCAUCUUAAGAGAUUUCAGCCAUCUUUUCUUUGUCAUACCUCCUGCCAUUGCCUAUUCUGUGGCAGCACACUCAGAUGGGCAGGGAAUAAUAAUAAUUAUAAUAG